GGGAGAGUUUGAUCCUGGCUCAGAUUGAACGCUGGCGGCAUGCCUUACACAUGCAAGUCGAACGGUAACAGGGAGCUUGCUCCGCUGACGAGUGGCGAACGGGUGAGUAAUGUAUCGGAACGUACCAUUCAGUGGGGGAUAACGUAGCGAAAGUUACGCUAAUACCGCAUAUUCUGUGAGCAGGAAAGCAGGGGAUCGCAAGGCCUCGCGCGAUUGGAGCGGCCGAUGUCGGAUUAGCUAGUUGGUAGGGUAAAGGCCUACCAAGGCGACGAUCCGUAGCGGGUCUGAGAGGAUGAUCCGCCACACUGGGACUGAGACACGGCCCAGACUCCUACGGGAGGCAGCAGUGGGGAAUUUUGGACAAUGGGCGAAAGCCUGAUCCAGCCAUGCCGCGUGAGUGAAGAAGGCCUUCGGGUUGUAAAGCUCUUUCAGCCGGAAAGAAAUCGCGCAGGAUAAUACUCUGCGUGGAUGACGGUACCGGAAGAAGAAGCACCGGCUAACUACGUGCCAGCAGCCGCGGUAA
rnacentral:rRNA from 1 species